GGGACACGUGGUAUCCUGUCUGAAUAUGGGGGGACCAUCCUCCAAGGCUAAAUACUCCUGACUGACCGAUAGUGAACCAGUACCGUGAGGGAAAGGCGAAAAGAACCCCGGCGAGGGGAGUGAAAAAGAACCUGAAACCGUGUACGUACAAGCAGUGGGAGCCUCUUAAUGGGGUGACUGCGUACCUUUUGUAUAAUGGGUCAGCGACUUAUAUUCUGUAGCAAGGUUAACCGAAUAGGGGAGCCGAAGGGAAACCGAGUCUUAACUGGGCGUUAAGUUGCAGGGUAUAGACCCGAAACCCGGUGAUCUAGCCAUGGGCAGGUUGAAGGUUGGGUAACACUAACUGGAGGACCGAACCGACUAAUGUUGAAAAAUUAGCGGAUGACUUGUGGCUGGGGGUGAAAGGCCAAUCAAACCGGGAGAUAGCUGGUUCUCCCCGAAAGCUAUUUAGGUAGCGCCUCGUGAAUUCAUCUCCGGGGGUAGAGCACUGUUUCGGCAAGGGGGUCAUCCCGAC
rnacentral:rRNA from 1 species